rnacentral:tRNA from 1 species
GGCGAGAUGGCCGAGCGGUCUAAGGCGCCAGACUAAGGAUCAGGACAUUCGAUGUCCUCUAAAUCUGGUCCGAAAGGGCGUGGGUUCGAAUCCCACUCUCGUCA